ensembl:misc_RNA Gm27507 predicted gene, 27507
AACCAGUGCAGAAUGGAUGUUGGAGGAGAGGGAGGUCACCUCUGGGCUUCUGGGAAAACCAGAAGACAUAUAUGAUCCUCAACCUCGUAACUU